rnacentral:rRNA from 1 species
CGGACGGGUGAGUAACGCGUGGGUAACCUGCCCUGUACAGGGGGAUAACAGUCAGAAAUGACUGCUAAUACCGCAUAAGACCACAGCACCGCAUGGCGCAGGGGUAAAAACUCCGGUGGUACAGGAUGGACCCGCGUCUGAUUAGCUGGUUGGUGAGGUAACGGCUCACCAAGGCGACGAUCAGUAGCCGGCUUGAGAGAGUGAACGGCCACAUUGGGACUGAGACACGGCCCAAACUCCUACGGGAGGCAGCAUG